UGAGACUUCCCCGCCAGGUGUCUAGUUUUACAUCAUACGUCUAAACUCUCAGCUGUGAGUACUAAUUUGUGGCAUGAUGGUGAGGUGAAAUGACAGAGGCUCAUGGCACGUCAUUGCAGAAUAUCCACUAGAAUUUCACAAGUCACCAGUCAUGGAUUUCAGGAUCUGACUGCUUGUCAUCUUGGGAGACAUCAGGAUCUGACUGCUUGUCUUCAUGGGAGACUUCAGGUUCUGAGUUCCUGAAUGUAUCCUCCGUCUACAGGAGAGAGGGGGCUCUGGUCCUGACUUGGCUUCCUCCUGUCUUUGCUGAUGGAAGCUGGGUUUUGAUGAGAAACUUCUCCUGGCAUGCUAAGGUCUACUCACAGCAAAUGUAAAGUCUUAGAGGUCGAAGGCCUUGAUAACUGCCUUUCCUGACCUUGCACUGUUUCUAGUGAGUUUAAUUUAAUACAAAGCAAAACAAGUUUGAUGAUAGCCUCUGGCUGACUGCUGGAACCCACCACGCACAGGAAUUCAUGACUGAGUGACAGCAGGAGCACUUCCCUCAUCACACAUGAUGCGCAGGCCACCCAGCGAGGCACUUCAUCUCCAGGUUGACAGUUCCUGGCUGACUCGGGUCUGCCACCUGGAAGAGCGUCUGUAAUUCUGUAUUGUGGAACAGAAAACAAUGUGCAGAAUACAUUCUUUAAAACAGAAGUACAAAGUAC
rnacentral:lncRNA from 10 species